GGAUCAUCUUCUUCUUCAAAAGUCUUUCUCCCCUUCAGGUUCCCCUUCCUUAGCUUCUCCUCAGGGUCCUGAAAUGGUUAUUCAAUAACCAAUGAGACCACGUCUCAGCGAGUCCUACCCACUAAGACUCGAUUAAUAAACUAAUACGCCAUACGGUUGCCUAAGCACAACACGAGUCAGAGGACUUACCUUGGCCUCAGUUCCAACCUGCAAUUCACGGUUAAACACAAGUAUUCAAACAAUUCACGACAUUCGAUCAAGCAUUGAUCAAUCGACUAAGUCGAUUACAUGUCAGCCAGACCCUCUCUAGGUCAUUCCCACUCAUACCACGCUUUCUCAGUGGUGUACUCAUUCACCAAAUCACAUGUGUUUCUCGGGCGUCGUUUUCGCCAAUGACAUACCGAUCACCGACACCGUGCGUUCUUUAAGGCGCCGUUUUCACCAGUGAUAACCUUGAUCACCGAACCACGUGUCCUUUUAAGGGCGUCGUUUUCGCCAAGGUGACAUCGGCUAUAGACAACAUCGUGCGUUCUUUAAGGCGCCGUUUUCACCAGUGAUAUUCCCAUAAUCACCGAACCACGUUUGUCUAUAAGUCAUUCACGUGCGUUCUUUAAGGCGCCGUUUUCGCCAGUGAUACUUCCAAUCACCGAACCACGUAUGUCCAAAAAUAUCGUACCUGAUUGGUCUCACCAUUCUCCCUACUAUAUAGCCCAUCAACGUACCGGCGCUAUAUAUCCAAGCUUAGCCAUUACCAAUCAAAUAUUCAAUAACAAACAAUUUAGGACAAUUCCUAAAAUUCCACAAUAAAUUCAAUUCCACACAACGUAGAGCUCAAAUAAAUAAACGGACUGCACCACGACAAUCAGCACAAAAUUCCGGUCACCGGCCAUCCCGGUUGAAUUUCCGGAAAAAUAAUUAAUUAAAUAAAUAAAUUUCGAAAAUAAAUAAAUAAACAUUAAAAAUCCAAUUUAGGCCUAUAUUGCCUUAUUGGAGCCCGAAACGGGUCGGGAAAAAUCCCGAGAUGCAUUCAAUAAAUAACCGAACAUUUCUACUUGCUAAUAGCUAGGUCUAACCACCUAACAUGCAUCAUUAAGUCACUAAAUUAAUUGUUCUAACCUAAUCUAACCACCUAAUUGCACUUAAUUAAAUCUAACCAACCUUAAGCAUAAUUAGCAAACUAAUAAAGCAUUAGUGAGUAAAACUCACUUGACAAAAGCGGAGACCGAAUCACCGCAACGGCGACGCGACGGCGGCCGAAAUAGAACUUUCGACGACACCGGCGGACUUGGACCGGGCCUUAAGCUUGGCCCAACAAAUCUCAGUCCAAAUUGAGAUUUGUUCUUGCUUUUGGGCUGGACCUGCUGAAUUUCUGGACUGAACUAACUGCGCUAGCUGAACUGGGCUUGCUGGUCUUGUGCUGAAUUCGGUGGCCCAAAGGACUGAAGCUCACGGGCUGGGCUUGCUGCAGGGCUUGUCUUCAGCUAGUUUGUUGGACUGAAGAUCACAUGGGCUGCUGAGCUGGGCUGUUCGGUGGCUUCAAAUGAGCUGCUGGGCUGAUGAAGACGGGCCGCACAAGGCAGAGAUGGGCCUCGACAAUUUCGUGAAGGCUGAGGGCAUGCCGCUGGAGAAGACUGAAGACGGAAGCUGCUCAACUGGGCUUGACUAAUUACUUCACUUGGAUUGAAUUGGGCUUGAAGAUUGCAGGAGAUGGGCCUCAAUUACUGGGCUGAAACUUGAACUAAAUUGGCUGAAGAACUGCUGGACUUGUGUUGGGCCAUUGAUGCGGCUGCUCGACGGAUGAUGCUUCGUUUGCUUGAUUCGGUUGACUCGGUGAAUUCCACACGGUUAGAUGAAGGCCGCGAGCUGGGUAGACCGAAGCUGAGAAAGACGCAUGGAUGCUUGGACGGCAGAGCUGGCGUGCGGUCCACGACGAAGGAGUUCGCUGAUGUCAAGCUGCGGGCUCUGCCGUUGCUUCGUCUGGGCCGUGAGGGAGUCAACGAAGAGGAGAGCUCCACCGUUCGUUGACGCAGGCGUGAGCUGAAGACGAAGACGCGUGGAGGUGGUCUUCAAGCGGUCAACCAAGAAGCUUCGGUGUUGCUGGCGACUGGUCUGCGUGCGUGCGUGCAUGGGCUGCUGCGGUCAACCAACUGGUGGAGAGGUUCCACGAUUGACCGAACGUGGCAGUUCGCUGAAGAAGAUAGUGGAGGAGGGUUCGCUUGCGGACGUGUGGCUCCUUCAGUCAACGACGGGGCUUCUUCUGGCUUCGCUAUUGACCGAGCGUGAGCUGGCUGAAGACACGAAGCGGUGGAGAAUUCGGCAGAUGCUGAGCUUCUCGGGCAGCUUGGUGGACGCUCGGAAAAUUUCGAAGGAAGCAGCCGGGUCUUCUUCAAUUGCUGCUGGAAGUGUCGCACGCCAGAAAAAAAUGAAAAGGGGAGAGAAGCAGCUCACGGCAGC
rnacentral:lncRNA from 1 species